rnacentral:rRNA from 1 species
UACGUAUAAGACUAGUGUUAUUCAUCUUUAAUAGGUUUAAAGGGUACCUAGACGGUAUAAUCAGUCUUUAAUAGGAUACGUUUAUACUAGAGUUAAAUUUGAGAAGGGGAGUACUUGAGAUGUAGAGUUAAUAUUUUUUGAUCUCUUAAGGUACAGGUUACGGCGAAAGCAACCUUUUAUCUAAUAACUGACGUUGAGGGACGAAGGCAUUGAGUCACGAACAGGAUUAGAAACCCUUG